AACAUAAGUAAACAAAUUUAUGUGGAUAAAAAACGCCACACGCAUUCACGUAUUGUCUUGCCAUGUUAGAUAUGAUUCUCAAACACCGUUAGAAGAAUUUUUUUAUGAUAAAAUAAUAAAAGUUUAGAUCGCAGGCAAUGGACCUAAAUGGUCCCAUAAUUCAUAGGAUAACUUUUCAUUCUUGUUUCGAGCAUGUUUGAUACUUCCACUAACUUAUGUUUUGCUCUCUUGAUCUCUACAUUCUCAUCAAAGUUAGUCCAUAAAACUAUAAACCAUUAGUAUCCUCGUUCUCUUCUGCAUGAAGAUAAUAUUUGGGACCGAUAUUACAUUCGCUGACACUAUAUAUGGAUUUGUAGGUUCCCUCGAACAAUUUUUUGUUUCAAAAUUUUUUGGCGGGAAAUUUAUUUUGAAAUAUUUUAGGCAAAAAAUAUUAAUAUUUCAUUUUAUUAACCUAAAUUUUUUUUCAAAUAGAGGUAAAAUGGUCAUUAAAAAUUUAAAGAGGGUAGAAAUGAAAAUGACUAAUAAAAAAGGGUAGAGUUGAAAAUGGGAAUUAUGAAAAGGGCAUUAGAAAAAGAAUUUUUCUUAAUUUUUAUAAGCUUUUUUUUAAUUGUGUGUUUUAGUUUAACGAAUGAAAACACUAUAUUACAAUGAUAAAUACAAUUUUAUUCAACUUAACUAAU
rnacentral:sRNA from 1 species